GUGUGACGUUCCAUGCUAUGGAACACCCCUUUGGCUAGUUCAGGUCAGCUGCCCCAGCUGUGCUCCCUCCCAGCUUCUUGCACACCUGCUUGCUGGCAGAGCAUGGGAAACUGAAAAGUCCUUGGCUUAAGAUAAGUGCUACUUAGCAACAACUAAAACAUCAGGGUGUUAUCAACAGUAUUGUCACACUAAAUCCAAAACACACACUGUACCAGCUAUUAAGAGAGUUAACUCUGUCCCAGCCGAAACCAGGAUACUCAGCAUGUAUCUUUUGCUUUGGUUUUUUUCAGAUGCUGCAAGAGGCUCAGAGGGGCGAAGCUGCGUGCUGAGGAGCGGUCCGAGAAGGCGCCAUACAGGCAGCCUUUGGAACUGGAUGAGCCUUUGAGGUGCCACGAGCGAUGACGGCCGCAGCGUCCGA